rnacentral:rRNA from 1 species
CCUACGGGAGGCAGCAGUGAGGAAUAUUGGUCAAUGGGCGCGAGCCUGAACCAGCCAAGUAGCGUGAAGGAUGACUGCCCUACGGGUUGUAAACUUCUUUUAUAAAGGAAUAAAGUGAGGCACGUGUGCCUUUUUGUAUGUACUUUAUGAAUAAGGAUCGGGUAACUCCGUGCCAGCAGCCGCGGUAAUACGGAGGAUCGGAGCGUUAUCCGGAAUCAUUGGGCUUAAAGGGUUCGUAGGCGGCACGUAAAGUCUGGUGUUAACGGCUGAGGCUCAAAUUCUGUACUGCACUGGAAACUGGCGGGCUUGAGUGCGCGAGAGGUAAGCGGAAUUCGUGGUGUAGCGGUGAAAUGCUUAGAUAUCAGGAAGAACAUCGAUUGCGAAAGCAGCUUACUGGGGCGUAAUUGACGCUGAGGCACGAAAGCGAGGGUAUCGAACAGGAUUAGAUACCCUGGUAGUC